AACGAACGCUGGCGGCAGGCUUAACACAUGCAAGUCGAGCGCCCCGCAAGGGGAGCGGCUGACGGGUGAGUAACGCGUGGGAAUCUACCCAUCUCUACGGAAUAACGCAUGGAAACGUGUGCUAAUACCGUAUACGUCCUUCGGGAGAAAGAUUUAUCGGAGAUGGAUGAGCCCGCGUUGGAUUAGCUAGUUGGUGGGGUAAAGGCCGACCAAGGCGACGAUCCAUAGCUGGUCUGAGAGGAUGAUCAGCCACACUGGGACUGAGACACGGCCCAGACUCCUACGGGAGGCAGAAGUGGGGAAUAUUGGACAAUGGGCGCAAGCCUGAUCCAGCCAUGCCGCGUGAGUGAUGAAGGCCCUAGGGUUGUAAAGCUCUUUCACCGGUGAAGAUAAUGACGGUAACCGGAGAAGAAGCCCCGGCUAACUUCGUGCCAGCCGCCGCGGUAAAAC
rnacentral:rRNA from 1 species